rnacentral:rRNA from 1 species
AGUCAAUAGAUACCCCGGUAGUCCAUGCCGUAAACGAUGAUUGCUAGGUGUGGGGGGUCGUGACCCCUUCCGUGCCGGAGUUAAAACAACAAAUAAAGCAAUCCACCUGGGGAGUACGGCCGCAAGGUUGAAACUCAAAGGAAUUGACGGGGGCCCGGCACAAGCAGUGGAGUAUGUGGUUUAAUUCGAAGCAACGCGAAGAACCUUACCAGGUCUUGACAUCCACCGAAUCCUGUAGAGAUACGGGAGUGCCCUUCGGGGAACGGUGAGACAGGUGGUGCGUGGUUGUCGUCAGCUCGUGUCGUGAGAUGUUGGGUUAAGUCCCGCAACGAGCGCAACCCUUGUGAAUAGUUGCUACGAAAGAGCACUCUAUUCAGACCGCCGUUGACAAAACGGAGGAAGGUGGGGAUGACGUCAAAUCAUCAUGCCCCUUAUGACCUGGGCUACACACGUACUACAAUGGCCGUUAACAGAGGGAUGCAAUACCGCGAGGUGGAGCGAACCCCUAAAAACCGGUCUCAGUUCAGAUUGCAGGCUGAAACUCGCCUGCAUAAAGAA